rnacentral:tRNA from 1 species
GCCGAGGUGGCGAAAUAGGCAAACGCAGGGGACUUGGGAUCCCCGGGCAAACAACGCCUUGCGGGUUCGAAUCCCGCCCUCGGCACCA